rnacentral:piRNA from 1 species
UGCGAGUUUGCUGAAGCUCACACAAGGGAC